rnacentral:misc_RNA from 1 species
AGGAGGUUGAUGAGGGCAUGGUAGGACUCUACAUAAUACUCUCUUGUCAAUUUAAGCUUAACAGUUUUUUAUGAACAAUUGAGGGUUUUUUGUGUUGCAAUUCCUGUCUGCAUAUGAUGCUGCAUGUUGAUCUAUUUUGCUAGGUACAAGAUUAGGAUAAGAAUUGCUGCUUUUAUAUUUUAAUUAUUGCUGUACUGUAAUUUUGUAUGUCAAUAAGCAAGGGCUUCAUAGUUUUUUAAGGAUGUCUGGAAAUACAUGUCAGCAAAGAGCAGGAUUAUGUCAUUUCGAGUAAUUCUUGGUAGAUGGAACUCAUGCAUUGAGCAAUUUGUACUAAUUGGUUUGGAGUAAAUGCUGUGAUGUCAAGAAUUAUUAACUUGCAUGUCCAGCACCUUAUGUGACUUGUAUGAUUAUGAAAUUUUAUCCAUGCUGUCAUAGCUGUUAUUGAAUUAGUUAAAAUGAUAAGAAGCAUAAAACUGG